GUCGAGCAAGUCUCGUAAAUUUCACGAUUGCGAGCCACGCUUCACGCAACCGUGUUUGCGUACUUGUGUUUCGAGUUGCGUGGUCGUGCGGAGUUAUAUUUACCAAAUUUAAAUGUAAUCGUUUCUACUGAUAAUAAUAUACUAUUCUCAAUAUGGCUACUGGGUGUAAAAGAUAAAUCUUAUUCUAUCUGUUCUUCAUGAGUUUUAGAUAAUUUUAGUUGUAUUUCUUUGUAAUUUUGUGUUGUACAAAGAUUAAUUUAACAUUUUCUCUGGAAGUAUUAAUUUAGAAAGAUAAUAUGCUUCAUUGGUGUUGUGUUUUGAAGUGUGAAAUGCAAAGUAAUUGUGAUAAAGUCAAGAUAAAGUUCACUUUUAAACUGAACUAAAUAAGGUAUCUGAGAGACAACAAUGGUUAAAUGCAAUACAAUGUACAGGUUUUACUAGCGAAAUGAAAAUUUUCCUGUCCUGUCUGCUGUAAUCAUUUUAUAUCUGGUAAGUUACAAUUACAACAGUAACGAUUUUUGAAGAUGUUAACAUUUUAAUCUUAUAGGAAAAUAGGAAAACCAGCCGACUUAAUCGAUAAUAACAAUCUCCAGAUUGGGUUCCUUCAAUAAAUAUGGGCUAUAAACACAAUGAAAUAAGUUCCCCAAAAUCUAAAAUGGAGUGCUAUCAAAGGAGAAUUAAAGGAAAAAAUAUUCAUAUUGAAAUUAUUUAUAAGGCACUGGACUGUCUUAAAUUCUACAAUAAUACUAGAAUCAGCUGAGAGAAGUGGUCUACAAAAACCAGGAAGGAAACGGAAUAUGUGGCUACGAAAGGCAAAAGAAAGGUUUACAAAGCAAAUGUGACACAUUUUUUUGAAAUAUUUAGGAAUAUCAGUAAAUUGCAUUAAAAAAUGUAUGAAAAGAUUUUGUUCAAUAAAAAUGUUUAUAUUUA